CUUUUUGCCAUCUGUUUGCGCAACUCCAUCUCGAUCGUUUUCGCAGCCGCUGCCGCCGCCGCGGCGGAGCUAGGGCUUAAUCGAGCGGCAGACCAUCACUCCAUCAGCAACAUUGACGAGCUGACCCACGAAGGUCACAGCACGGCUUGUGGGUCUGACUAAUCUCAACCAAAGGUUCGAUACAUGGGUGUUACCUUUUUUUGUAAGUUCAGAGUUGGUGGUGGUCCGUUCACCCUGAGCAGUUACCAGUAAGUUUUCUCGCAAAAAAAUAUUAAGCUACGAAAGUUUAAUUAUGAAGUACAUA